AGCCAUUUAUUUGGCAGUUAUUCUUACAAUGUUUAUGGAUCGCAUAGAAUCUCAUGAGAAUUGUGUAUCAGUGGAUGGUACAGACAGUGAUGUUGUAUCACCUGAGAUGAACUAUAGGUGCCUGUUAAGAAAUUUCUUCCCUCGCCAGGUCAGAUUUUGUUUGUGUAAUUUUAUAAUCAGUAAUAUUGGUGAUAAAUCUAUCUAUGCAGGAUUUUUCAUCACGAUGAAAUGGAAGACGAAGAGUGGAGUCUAGUGCAGA
rnacentral:lncRNA from 1 species